GAUGAACGCUAGCGGCAGGCUUAACACAUGCAAGUCGAGGGGUAUAGUUCUUCGGAGCUAGAGACCGGCGCACGGGUGCGUAACGCGUAUGCAAUCUACCUUUUGCAGAGGGAUAGCCCAGAGAAAUUUGGAUUAAUACCUCAUGGUAUGUGAGAAUGGCAUCAUUUUCACAUUAAAGUCACAACGGCAAAAGAUGAGCAUGCGUCCCAUUAGCUAGUUGGUAAGUUAACGGCUUACCAAGGCAACGAUGGGUAGGGGUCCUGAGAGGGAGAUCCCCCGUACGGGUACUGGGACACGUACCAGACUCCUACGGGAGGCAGCAGUGAGGAAUAUUGGGCAGUGGGCGCAAACCUGAUCCAGCCAUGCCGCGUGCAGGACGACGGUCCUAUGGAUUGUAAACUGCUUUUGUACAGGAAGAAACACUGGUUCGUGAACCAGCUUGACGGUACUGUAAGAAUAAGGAUCGGCUAACUCCGUGCCAGCCGCCGCCGUAAGAC
rnacentral:rRNA from 1 species